rnacentral:rRNA from 1 species
AGGAACCUGCCUUGGAGUGGGGAAGUAACAGCUGGAAACAGCUGCUAAUACCGCAUAAUAUAUCUGGGCCGCAUGGCUCUGGAUAUCAAAGAUUUAUCGCUCUGAGAUGGACUCGCGUCUGAUUAGCUGGUUGGCGGGGUAACGGCCCACCAAGGCGACGAUCAGUAGCCGGACUGAGAGGUUGGCCGGCCACAUUGGGACUGAGACACGGCCCAGACUCCUACGGGAGGCAGCAG